rnacentral:rRNA from 1 species
GACGAACGCUGGCGGCGUGCUUAACACAUGCCAGUCGAACGGAAAGGCCCUGCUUGCAGGGUACUCGAGUGGCGAACGGGUGAGUAACACGUGGGUGAUCUGCCCUGCACUUCGGGAUAAGCCUGGGAAACUGUGUCUAAUACCGGAUAGGAGCCAUUUUUAGUGUGAUGGUUGGAAAGUUUUUUCGGUGUAGGAUGAGCUCGCGGCCUAUCAGCUUGUUGGUGGGGUAAUGGCCUACCAAGGCGGCGACGGGUAGCCGGCCUGAGAGGGUGGACGGCCACAUUGGGACUGAGAUACGGCCCAGACUCCGACGGGAGGCAGCAGUGGGGAAUAUUGCACAAUGGGCGCAAGCCUGAUGCAGCGACGCCGCGUGGGGGAUGACGGCCUUCGGGUUGUAAACUCCUUUCGCUAGGGACGAAGCUUUUUGUGACGGUACCUAGAUAAGAAGCACCGGCUAACUACGUG